CUCGACUCUUCCUCUCGCGGGGACUGAGAGCUGUGCGCGCGCACUCACGUACGCAGCGACUCGUACGACCACCUGCCCGCCUUACAGGGCGUCUUGGAGAGGCCUCUUCCAGAUCCAUCCACGCUGCGCAGGCGCACGCCCACGGAGCGCCCAGUCGCCCGGCUCGAGCGUCCCGUCUCCUAGUAACCAGCCGCCAGCCCCCUUCUGCAAGACUUUUUUCGUCCUCCCCGCCGGGGGCUGCCACACCUGGAUAGGACGCGCGUGCGCAGGGCUGUAUCUCCUCUUGCUGCCUUCCCUCGGCUCUGGAACACCUGCUGCUUGGCUGCCGCGGCUGUGUGUCGCUUUUCCAAGGGAUCGGGCACCAUUCCGGACCCACGUUCGGUGAACUCGUUACUCCUCAGAGCUGCUUUAGGCGCUGGGAGGUUGGUGCGCUCUCCUGCCGCAGCUAGGGGUCGGUUUGCGGGGAGCUUCGCAGGUCGGGUCCUGCUGCUGCAGCCUCUGGGGAGAGAGCCGACCUGUUCGAGUGAGCGCCGGCAGCCUGCACCCUGCAGUCUGGGGAGCCUGCGGACCCGCGGCUGCAGUCAGCCCUGCACGAUCCAGGCAGGGUUGAAUAGGGAAGUGGCAGAACGACCAAUGAAAGCGCAGAUUCCCGACCGAUGAAAUAGAUAACUAGGUUUUUCUUAUAGCUGUUCUCGGAUGAUCUUGAUAAAGCAAUCGCCUGUGCAUUUCAAAUGUAAGCUCACAUUUGAAGAGACUAAGUCCUGUUUUUGCCAGCAAUCAAGUUGAAGAA